UAGGGAAUCUUCCACAAUGGACGCAAGUCUGAUGGAGCAACACCGCGUGAGUGAAGAAGGUUUUCGGAUCGUAAAGCUCUGUUGUUGGUGAAGAAGGAUAGAGGUAGUAACUGGCCUUUAUUUGACGGUAAUCAACCAGAAAGUCACGGCUAACUACGUGCCAGCAGCCGCGGUAAUACGUAGGUGGCAAGCGUUGUCCGGAUUUAUUGGGCGUAAAGCGAGCGCAGGCGGAAGAAUAAGUCUGAUGUGAAAGCCCUCGGCUUAACCGAGGAACUGCAUCGGAAACUGUUUUUCUUGAGUGCAGAAGAGGAGAGUGGAACUCCAUGUGUAGCGGUGGAAUGCGUAGAUAUAUGGAAGAACACCAGUGGCGAAGGCGACUCUCUGGUCUGCAACUGACGCUGAGGCUCGAAAGCAUGGGUAGCGAACAGG
rnacentral:rRNA from 1 species